GCGAAAGUCGAAGUGGUAUGAAAAUCUGCUUCUCAGUGAGAGUACGGGUUCGAGUCCCGUCGUCCGCACCA
rnacentral:tRNA from 1 species